UGUUGCAAAGGUGAAAUCAAGGAGACAUGUUGCAGAGAUGAAAUCUAUAAGAGAUACUGCAGAGGUGAAAUCUACAAGAAGAGAUGCUGCAGAGGUGAAAUCUAGGAGAGAGGCUGCAGAGGUGAAAUCUACAAGAAGAGAGGCUGCAGAGGUGAAAUCUAGGAGAGAUGCUGCAGAGGUGAAAUUGACAGGCCUUGACAACAGCUUGGAUAUGAGCUUGG
rnacentral:lncRNA from 1 species